CCUACGUGAGGCAGCAGUGAGGAAUAUUGGUCAAUGGGCGGGAGCCUGAACCAGCCAAGUCGCGUGAGGGAAGACGGUCCUAUGGAUUGUAAACCUCUUUAGGCGGGGAGCAAUGCCGGGCACGCGUGCCCGGAGGGAGAGUACCCGCAGAAUAAGCAUCGGCUAACUCCGUGCCAGCAGCCGCGGUUAUACGGAGGAUGCGAGCGUUAUCCGGAUUUAUUGGGGGUAAAGGGGACGUUGGCGGAUUGUUAAGUCAGCGGUAAACUGUCCGGGCUCAACCCGGGCCGGCGGUUGAAACUGGGGAUCUGAAGUGGGCGAGAAGUAUGCGGAAUGAGGGGGGUAGCGGUGAAAUGCAUAGAUAUCACGCAGAAAUCCGAUUGCGAAGGCAGCAUACCGGCGCCCGACUGACGCUGAGGCACGAAAGCGUGGGGAUCGAACAGGAUUAGAUACCCGGGUAGUC
rnacentral:rRNA from 1 species